GAGAAGUUUUUACCUGAGUCUCGUCGAAAGAAGUUGUGCAGACAGUUUCAGCAACUUCGUUACUCAGUAUGAGAUACGAUUCUCGAGUUGGCUCAUCAUAUGGUCUGGUUGGUUUCCACAGAUCGAGAGAGGAUUAGGAGGUUUAUAGAUGGCCUCGGUUUCCAGCUUCGGUUGCUCGUGAACAGAGAGAGAAGGUAUAUGGUUCUACCUUUGAUGAGGUUGUUUACAUAGCUCGAC
rnacentral:lncRNA from 1 species